rnacentral:tRNA from 1 species
GCGCCGCUGCACCGGCCCGGUGGGCGCGCCGUCAGCGCACCGCGAUGCCGAGCGCGCGCAGCGCGCCGUCGAUCGCCGCGACGGCGCGGCG